GACGAACGCUGGCGGCGUGCUUAACACAUGCAAGUCGAACGGAAAGGCCUCUUUCGGGGGGUACUCGAGUGGCGAACGGGUGAGUAACACGUGAGUAACCUGCCCUUGUCUUUGGGAUAACUUCAGGAAACUGGGGCUAAUACCGGAUAGGAGCUCCUGUUGCAUGGUGGGGGCUGGAAAGUUUCGGCGGCUGGGGAUGGACUCGCGGCUUAUCCGCUUGUUGGUGGGGUAGUGGCUUAGUAAGGGGUUGGCGGGUAGCCGGCGCGUGGGGGUGUCGCGCGACUCUGGGAGUGAGACGCGGCACAGAGACUGAGAGGCGGCAGCGGUACCUACGCGUGGGAGAAGUGCGGAAGAUUGCACAAGGAGUGCAGGCCUGGUGAUGCAGCGCCGCGUGUGGGAAAACGCUGUUAGGGUUGUAGAACACAUUCGCUCAUAACGAAGCUUUUUGUGACGGUAGUGGGUAAAGAAGCACCGGCUAACUACGUG
rnacentral:rRNA from 1 species